UACAGAGGGUGCGACCGUUAAUCGGAAUUACUGGGCGUAAAGCGUGCGUAGACGGUUAUUUAAGUCGGGUGUGAAAGCCCCGGGCUCAACCUGGGAAUUGCAUUCGAGACUGAAUAGCUAGGGUACGGUAGAGGGAAGUGGAAUUUCCGGUGUAGCGGUGAAAUGCGUAGAUAUCGGAAGGAACAUCAGUGGCGAAAGCGACUUCCUGGACCAGUACCGACGUUCAGGCACGAAAGCGUGGGGAGCAAACAGG
rnacentral:rRNA from 1 species